UACGGAGGAUCCAAGCGUUAUCCGGAUUUAUUGGGUUUAAAGGGUGCGUAGGCGGCCUAUUAAGUCAGGGGUGAAAGACGGUAGCUUAACUAUCGCAGUGCCUUUGAUACUGAUGGGCUUGAAUGAACUAGAGGUAGGCGGAAUGUGACAAGUAGCGGUGAAAUGCAUAGAUAUGUCACAGAACACCAAUUGCGAAGGCGGCUUACUAUGGUUUUAUUGACGCUGAGGCACGAAAGCGUGGGGAUCAAACAGG
rnacentral:rRNA from 1 species